UACGUAGGGUGCGAGCGUUGUCCGGAAUUAUUGGGCGUAAAGGGCUCGUAGGCGGUUUGUCGCGUCGGGAGUGAAAACUCAGGGCUUAACCCUGAGCCUGCUUCCGAUACGGGCAGACUAGAGGUAUGCAGGGGAGAACGGAAUUCCUGGUGUAGCGGUGAAAUGCGCAGAUAUCAGGAGGAACACCGGUGGCGAAGGCGGGUCUCUGGGCCGAUACUGACGCUGAGGAGCGAAAGCAUGGGUAGCGAACAGG
rnacentral:rRNA from 1 species